CAGCUCUACGGAAAGACCUGUGUGGCUAGGAACUAAGGCCUCCUGUCAAUAGUCCUGUGUAUGAGUCAUCUUGGAAGUAGAUUGCCCAGCUGCCGUCAAGCCUUCAGAAGACUGUGGUCCUCACUGACAUCUUGCCUGCAACCUCAUGAGAGUUCCUGAGCUAGACCACCCAGUUAAGUUACUGCUGGAUUCCUGACCACAGAAACUGUGAGCUGAUGUUACGCUUCAAUCUACUGUCUGCAUUCUUAACUCUGUCUCAGCAUCUGAUUCCCAGAGGACCUAACUGAUGGUGGUUCCAGGAAUGCUCAAAGAAAACAGGUGAAGAGAAUUCAUUGGUUUACAUAAUUUUAGUUGGAAGUGGACUGAGGGAAAAUGGCAGAUAGGAGGCAGGACUAACUUGCAGCUCCCACUUGGAUGGACAGAACAACAUAUGGAGACUCACAUAAUGAACUUUUGCUCCAAGAACUACCACAGAAAUAUGCCAGGAAAGCCGAGAGAAUCCACAGACCCUUUGAAGGAGGUGGAUUGCUGCUGCAGGCUCCGUGGGACAGCUGAGGAACUGUGAGUCAGCUUGCUUUCUCAGCUGGGAGGCUUGUAGCCUAGGGCAUGUUCUCAGCUCUGCUCACAGGCUGCCUGGAAAUAAACUUGGUGCUACUGGGUGGGCAUGGUGGGAGUGAGACUGGCCUUUCAGGCUGUGGGCUACGUGGGAGGUAGGUGAGGCCUGUGACUGCUGGCUUUCUCCCACUUCCCUGGUGACCUGUGUGUUGCAGCAGAGGCAGUCAUAAUCCCCAGGGAACAGAACUCCAUUGGCCUGAAAACCACACUCCCAUCCCCCACAGCAGCCACAGCAAGCCCUGCCCAAGAAGAGUCUGAGCUCAGACACACCUAACCCUGCCCCACCUGUUAGUCUUUCUCUACCUGCCCUGGUAGCCAAACACAAGGGACAUAAUCUCCUGGGAGCUAUAUGGCCCACCUACUGCCUGACCCUAGGGCAAGCUUGUAUCUCCCUGUACAACCACAGCUGAUGUGCUCUUGAAAGCACCACUUCCUGGCUGGAGGCCAACCAACACAAAACCAGCAUAACUUAACAAAAAUACAACCACAGACCCUCAUAGAGUCCACUUCAGUCCCCUGCUACCUCCACUGGAGCAGGUGCUGGUAUCCACGGCUGAGGGACCUGAAGACAGAUCACAUCACAGGACUCUUUGUAGACAUUCCCCAGUACCAGCCUGGAGCCCAGUAGCUCCACUUGGUGGCUAGAUCCAGAAGAUAAAUAACAAUCACUGCAGUUUGGCUCUCAGAUAGCCCCAUCCCUAGAAGAAAGGGGGAGAGCAACCACAUCAAGGGAACACCUUGUGGGACAAAAGAAUCUAAACAGCAGCCCUUGAGUCUACCCAAAUGAGAAGGAACAAGAAAAAUAAUUCUGAUAACAUGGCAAAACAAAGUUCUUUAGCACUCCCAAAAGAUCACACUAGCUAACCAGCAAUGGAUACAAACCCAGACAAAAAUCUCUGGAUUGCCAGAGAAAGAAUUCAGAAAGUCGGCUAUUAAGCUGAUCAAGGAGCCAUCAGAGAAAGGUGAAGUCCAACUUAAAGAAAUCAAAAAAAUAAUACUGGAUAUGAAUGGAGAACUUGUCAGUAAAAUAGAUAGCAUAAAUAUAAAACAAUCACAACUUCUGGAAAUGAAGGACACAAUUACAGAAUUGGAAAAUUCACUGGAAAUUCUCAGCAAUAGAAUCAAACAAGUAGAAGAAAGAACUUCAUAGCUUGAAGAUGAGGCUUUUGAAUUAACCCAAUCCCACAAAGACAAAAAAGAAAGAAUAAUAAUAAUAAAAAA